rnacentral:rRNA from 1 species
GACAGAGGGUGCAACCGUUGCUCGGAAUCACUGGGCGUAAAGGGUGUGUAGGCGGGACGGUAAGUCGGGCGUGAAAUCCCUAGGCUCAACCUAGGAACUGCACUCGAAACUACCAUUCUUGAGUGUCGGAGAGGAAAGCGGAAUUCCUGGUGUAGAGGUGAAAUUCGUAGAUAUCAGGAGGAACACCAGUGGCGAAGGCGGCUUUCUGGACGAUAACUGACGCUGAGGCACGAAGGUCAGGGGAGCAAACGGG